rnacentral:rRNA from 1 species
UGAGUAACACGUAUCCAACCUGCCCUUUACUCGGGGAUAGCCUUUCGAAAGAAAGAUUAAUACCCGAUAGCAUAAUGAUUCCGCAUGGUUUCAUUAUUAAAGGGAUUCCCGGGUAAAGGAUGGGGAUGCGUUCCAUUAGGUUGUUGGUGAGGUAACGGCCCACCAAGCCUUCGAUGGAUAGGGGUUCUGAGAGGAAGGUCCCCCACAUUGGAACUGAGACACGGUCCAAACUCCUACGGGAGGCAGCAGUGAGGAAUAUUGGUCAAUGGACGAGAGUCUGAACCAGCCAAGUAGCGUGCAGGAUGACGGCCCUAUGGGUUGUAAACUGCUUUUAUAAGGGAAUAAAGUGAGUCUCGUGAGACUUUUUGCAUGUACCUUAUGAAUAAGGACCGGCUAAUUCCGUG